AGUGAACGCUGGCGGUAGGCCUAACACAUGCAAGUCGAACGGCAGCACAGGAGAGCUUGCUCUCUGGGUGGCGAGUGGCGGACGGGUGAGGAAUACAUCGGAAUCUACUUUUUCGUGGGGGAUAACGUAGGGAAACUUACGCUAAUACCGCAUACGACCUACGGGUGCAAGCAGGGGACCUUCCGGCCUUGCGCGAUUGAAUGAGCCGGUGUCGGAUUAGCUAGUUGGCGGGGUAAAGGCCCACCAAGGCGACGAUCCGUAGCUGGUCUGAGAGGAUGAUCAGCCACACUGGAACUGAGACACGGUCCAGACUCCUACGGGAGGCAGCAGUGGGGAAUAUUGGACAAUGGGCGCAAGCCUGAUCCAGCCAUACCGCGUGGGUGAAGAAGGCCUUCGGGUUGUAAAGCCCUUUUGUUGGGAAAGAAAUCCAGCUGGCUAAUACCCGGUUGGGAUGACGGUACCCAAAGAAUAAGCACCGGCUAACUUCGUGCCAGCAGCCGCAGUAA
rnacentral:rRNA from 1 species